GGACUACUCGGGUAUCUAAUCCUGUUUGCUCCCCUGGCUUUCGCACCUCAGCGUCAGAAACCAGCCAGUGCAUCGCUUUCGCCGCCGGAGUUCCUUCCGAUAUCAACGCAUUUCACCGCUCCACCGGAAAUUCCAUGCACCCCUCUGGUCCUCAAGCACCGCAGUAUCGGGCGCAGUUCCUCGGUUAGGCCGAGGGAUUUCACACCCGACUUACGGCACCGCCUACGUGCGCUUUAUGCCCUGUGAUUCCGAACAACGCUCGCCACCUUCGUCUUACCGCGGCUGCUGGCAC
rnacentral:rRNA from 1 species